AGCUCUCUCUCUCUCUCUCUUCUUCUCUUUUUUAAAGGUCCCCAUCUAAUCUUUUAUCUCCGAACAUUCCCUCAACUGACUAAAAACCACUCUCCUCAAAAGCUACCCCUUUUCAUCAUUCUUUCUUUCUCUCUCUGUUCUCUCUUUUUUGAGUUCUUUUGUCUCUAAUUUUCUUAUCAAGACUCCAAAGGAGGGAACAAAUGUGGCAAAAACAGCCCAAUAAAUCAUCUUCCUUCAGAGAAUCUCUCAAAGCUCUUGAAGCUGAUAUACAACAUGCCAAUAGCCUGGCAGCAGCUCUUCCAGGAGAUUAUGGUGGGGAUCGUGUACAUAUGAGAUUAUCAUAUAGCUCCCUUGCCCCUUUCAUCCUGUUUUUGGUUGAAUGGAUGGACUAUAGUUGCACAGAUGCCCUCCCUAAUUAUUUAGGCCUUCUCCACAUCCUUGUGUACAAGGUGAUUGUGUUCUGUUGCAGCUUAUUAUUACCUUUUCUCUUGUUGACACAGAUUUUUGUGAUGUUUUAACUGUUGAAUUGCAGUUUUUAGCUCCUUUUUGCCUUCUUAAAAACUCAAAAGAAGCUCUUCAUACUUUAUCCAGGUUUAUGUUGAUGGAAUGCCAACAUUAUCCUCUAAAGAAAGGAAGGCCACACUAAGGGAAUUUUAUGGUCUGCUGCUCAUGGACUUGUUAACAACUUGCUGUGCUACAUUUCUUCUUCUCUUUUCUUUUCUCAAUAUUUUUGACAUUUGAAUGCUUUUAAUUGAAAUAUUCUUGCAGCUAUUAUAUACCCUUCUCUUAGGCUGCUUGAGGGAGAGUUCAUUGAAUUGGAAGAUAAACCUAGGAGAAGCGGAGGCACUGAAGUUUUGAGCAGACACAGAGUUGAAGAAAAGAGGAAGCAAUCUGAAAAUGAAUUUGAGGGAGAUUAUGAAUGUGGGAUUUGCAUGGAAGAUAGUGCAAAGAUGGUAUUGCCUAACUGUGGGCACUCCUUGUGUAACAGCUGCUUCCACGACUGGUACCUCCUAUUCCCAUUUCUGCCAUUUGCUUUUAAUAUAUUGCUUUCAUAUUAGCAUUUAAGUGAACAUCGGCUGCUGAUAUGUAUUUCUGUCAUAAUGUACUUCCAUUUUUACAGGAAUGCGAGAUCUCAAUCCUGUCCUUUUUGUCGUGGCAGCCUUAAGAGAGUGAACUCUAGAGAUUUAUGGGUUGUCAUUAAUAAUAGUGAUACAAUUGACACAUUGACCCUUGCAAGAGAGAACCUGAGGCGUUUCUACCUUUACAUUGAGCAACUGCCUCUUUUAAUGCCUGAGACUCAUGCUGUUGUGUUUGAUUACAUGAUCUGACUUGCAGAUAAAGAACGUAAUAAACCAUAGCUAUGGCCAGCUGCACAUUGUAUAUAGAGUAUAUGGUGAGGAAAGCUUCGAUCCCAUCCACUACAGCUGGUUGAGAAGAUACUGGGAGUUAGCUGUAUAUAAUUAACUAACUGGUGGUUACAUUUGGAUGAAAUUCAAACCAGUUGAUUAACAGGUGACUUUGGAAGUUCAUGAAACUGCGAAAAAUUAAGCAAAAGAUUAAGCACCAACAAGUGGCAAGGAUAGAUGUGAACAAAAAUACUAGAAAGAAAGGUAUGCUUGGCAUUCAACUCAGCUUUUUGGAACCUGGGUGUUGGAAUGGAAGUAGCUAGAAAUUUGCUUGUGUAAUUUGGAUUCUGCUUCCUCAUAGGUUGUAUGAAAAUGUUAAGAAUCAAAUCUAUUUUCCUUUUUUUUUUAAUAUUAUGACAAUUGCCUUCCUGAAUUUCAUCAAGAAAUUGCUGAUAUCAUUAAAAGGCUUAGCUAUGGCUCUUCUUUUCUUCAAAUGAUGAAACAAUAAAUGGAAUUUUAUUGUAACAUAAGUGAAACUCCUUAUGGCUGGUUUGGGUGGUAGGCAUAACUCAGAACUCCUUAUAUCUGAUUUUUUCCCCUUUUUGACAUUUCUGAGGUAGUUGACAUUCUAAGGAAGUGACUAAUUAAAACUCAAGACUGUAGUUUCAAGAAUGGCAUAGAGAUUAUUUGGUUUUAGCUCAUGGAUGAAGAAAAGGCAUAUAGUUUAAGAGAAAGAGACUAUUGUCCAUUAUUUAUGGCUGUUUUCCAUGUAGGCUUCAUAUGACAGCCUUUGUGAUGUAUUGUGAUGUUAAAGUAGUAAAUAAUUUUGUCAUGUCUAGAGAAGAAUGAGAGUGAUAAACUAUUUUACUUACUAUGAUUUAUUGUGAUUGAAAGUGAUUUUACUUGGAUAUAAUUGUGUUAAUGUGUUGUGAGAGGGUUUCGAGUUUAUAGAUGCAUUUUUUAAUGGAUUCUAAUAGUGGAAGAUGACAUGCUAGUAGGCGUAGCCUGAAUGAGAGGGUGAACCAUACGAUCAAAUAUUUUUGUUGUAAUUAUUUACUUUAUUUGUUUGUGAUUUUAGCAUCUGUGCCUUCUAAGAUUUGUUGUGUGUUUAUCUUGCAAUGAUGAAUAAGCACUUAAUAAUCUCCUUAAUUGC
rnacentral:misc_RNA from 1 species